rnacentral:rRNA from 1 species
AGUGAACGCUGGCGGUAGGCCUAACACAUGCAAGUCGAACGGCAGCACAGGAGAGCUUGCUCUCUGGGUGGCGAGUGGCGGACGGGUGAGGAAUACAUCGGAAUCUACUCUGUCGUGGGGGAUAACGUAGGGAAACUUACGCUAAUACCGCAUACGACCUACGGGUGAAAGCAGGGGACCUUCGGGCCUUGCGCGAUUGAAUGAGCCGAUGUCGGAUUAGCUAGUUGGCGGGGUAAAGGCCCACCAAGGCGACGAUCCGUAGCUGGUCUGAGAGGAGGAGCAGCAACAAUGGAACUGAGACACGGUCCAGACUCCUACGGGAGGCAGCAGUGGGGAAUAUUGGAAAAUGGGCGCAAGCCUGAUCCAGCCAUACCGCGUGGGUGAAGAAGGCCUUCGGGUUGUAAAGCCCUUUUGUUGGGAAAGAAAUCCAGCUGGCUAAUACCCGGUUGGGAUGACGGUACCCAAAGAAUAAGCACCGGCUAACUUCGUGCCAGCCGCCGCCGUAA